UCCUAGCCCAGGUCCGAUUGAAGAACUUCAAGGGGUGAAGAUUGUUAGAUUUUCUGGCCCAAUUUUCUAUGGCAAUGUUGAUGGUUUUAAAAAAUGUAUCAAAUCUACAGUUGGAUUUGAUGCCAUCAGAGUAUAUAACAAGAGGCUGAAAGCACUGAGGAGAAUACAGAAACUCAUCAAAAAAGGACAGUUAAAGGCAACAAAGAAUGGCAUCAUAAGUGAUGGUGGCUCAUUGAAUAAUGCUUUUGAAGCUGAUGAAGACAUUGAAGAUCCGAAAGAACUUGAUAUCCCAACCAAGGAAAUUGAGUUUCAAGUAGACUGGAACUCUGAGCUUCCAGUCAAAGUGAAUGUCCCCAAAGUGCCAAUCCAUAGUCUCGUGCUCGACUGUGGAGCUGUAUCUUUCCUGGAUGUCGUUGGAGUAAGGUCUUUGCGCAUGAUUGUUAAAGAAUUCCAAAGGAUUGAUGUGAAUGUAUAUUUCGCAUCACUUCAAGAUCAUGUUAUCAAGCAGAUGGAGAAGUGUGGUUUCUUUGAUGAUAACAAUAGAAAGGACACAUUAUUUUUGACUAUUCAUGAUGCCAUACUUUACCUACAGAACCAGGUUAAAGCCCAAGAAGGUCAAGAUUCCAUUUUAGAAAUGAUCACCCUCAUUCAAGAAUGCAAAGAUCCACUUGAAUUAAUGGAAGAAAAGAUGACUCAGGAAGAACUUGAUGUCCAGGAAGAGGCUAUGCGUAGUCUGGCUUCUUAAAGUGGACUGCAAGACAAAGUUCACCCACAGGUGACACCCUCUGCAAACAUUUUCAGCAUUGAUUAUUUCUUUGGAUUUGAAAUGCUCAUGCUUUGUCUGUUACAUUUUAAAAUCUUUGAGCUUUCUUAUGUCUUAGCCAUUGAAAAAGGAUUAGAUUAUUUUCAUACUUUAUUUAUAAAAUCAAUAGCUUACAUCUGAAGUAUGGAAAACAGUGAUGAGAAUUACCCAGGCAAAUUAGCAAGGUCCAAGAUCUUAUAAUGUUAUAAUCUGUGGCUGACCCCCCCAAAGGCAGAUUUGCUGUGUUCAUCAGGGUACUAGGGCAUCUCUGAUCAGUUGCAAGAAGUGUUAACUUGACAGCCUCCAUGGCUAGGUGAGCCAUGAAGGAUUUAUCACAGAAAAAAAAGGCCAGUUUUAAGAAUGCAAUUAGUUAAUGCUUAAUAAUGUUCAGCCAGAUGUGGUGGCAUCAGCCUAUAAUCUCAACACUACGGGACGCUGAGGUAGCAGGAUCUCAAAUUCAAGGCUAGCCUGGGCAAAUUAGUGACUUAGUGAGACCCUGUUUGAAAAUAAUGAAGUGUUGUUAUAUGGGACCAGAUAUAUAGCCAGAAUUCAGGGUCUCUUUGAGGCUAGAAAUGGUUAGCUGAAAAGCUAUAUAGAACUGGACUGUUACAUUUUUUAAAACACUGAUGCAGAAAAGUAAAACAGAUAAGGAAAUUCUCGUGGUUUAUAGAAAUACUUUCAAUAUGAUAAUCAUGCAUUACAAUGAAAAGAAAAUAUGAUGGACUAGCUUGAAAAUGCCAUUUAAAUUUAUCUUAGCCUACAGAAAUGAUCUUUGCAUGAAGGUAUAUAUAUAUAUAUAUA